rnacentral:misc_RNA from 2 species
AAACCCUCAAGCUCAGCUUGGUAUUGGGUGCUUGUCCCGCCUCUGCGCGGCGACUCACCUUAAAAACAGUGGCAGCCCGCAUCCGCCGGCCGUGAGCGCAGCACAGUCGCACUCAACAGUCUUGGCAGGUCGGCUAACCAAAAGCUUACUUUUCUUA